UCCAUUUGCUUAGGCAACUAAACUAUUUGAAGAGAAGAAUUACGAGAAUUACUGGCUAGAGUCAUAAUGUGACCUACAUAUAAAUGACCAAACAGCAUGGUCCCCAUUUCAGUAGGGACUUGCAAGGAAAGCUGUUUAAUGGGCAAGUACAGGGUCCAACUUCCACUGCUAUCAGUAACUUAUCAGUCUCCUGUUUUAGAUAAACAUAAAAUGUCUGUAAAUGAGCUUCAAACAUUCACUUAGCUGUAUGUGAAUUAUAACCAUAUGCAAUAUGAAGGUAAAUUUAAAAUGUAAAUGACCAGUGCUAAGGAGGCAGAAUAUUAGUCCAGGACAAUCAUUACCUGGUUUGACAGGAAUUAAUCGAAGAGUAUCAAGGAACACCAAACUGAUCAUUCUACUAGAAAGAUGCUCUAACCACUCCUGAUGUUCCAAUAUUCAUGACUCUUUUAAAAAUACUCUCCUGAAAAAGUAGAAAUUGAAAGAACCACCAUCAAAACCCAAGCAGUUCUGCAAGAAGGGUACUGAAGAUUUAAGUUCCUAUAGUUCCCUUAAAAUCCUUAGCCUUAAAUUGGUCCAAUUCCUUACUAGCAGUCCUAUGUCAAAUCAUGAGUUACCAAGUUCAAUUCCAAAAGAGCUCCUGUCUGUACAGAUGUGGCUAAAAAUAGGUGAUGUUACCAGUUCUUAGUCUUAUCAGGAAUCUGUCAAACUAACCAAACCCUAGAUGUGAGAGAAUCCGUAUCUGUUCCUGGAGGCUCCUGGGUGCCGGCAUGAGAGCUCUGUGGAAUUCCCUGGUUUGUCAGUUGGAUUGUCUCUUCCCAUGCCCGUACUGUAAUUUUCUUCCUUGUUUCAUUGCUGUUUGUAAUGUUUUUUUUUCCGUUUACAAAAGGUCAUACAGGGCAGACGUCUUUCUUCAAAUGAUGUCCAGAGCUUUAGCUAUCUGUAUUUUAAAGGGGAAGAAGUGGGACGUAUUUCACACCAACAUUUAUCCAACUAAACAAGCUUUCUGAACAAAUUAGAGGUGGUAAGGACCCAUAUCAUGGAAAACACAUGCUCCAGCUUUCCUAUGGCUGAUUGUCAAUGGUUGGGUUUCUUUUGGUCUUUAAUAACACCUGAGAAGUGUAUGUACCUGAAAAAGGUUUUCCAUUCCUUUUAUAUGUUAACAAUUGUGUGCGUGUGUUGAGAUUAUAGCUGGAGAAGUUUACUCUGUCUUCUUUGAACAGCAUAGCUUUUGGUAGCUGUGUUCCCACAAACACGUAUAGAAUGUUUUGGUUUUGUGUGUGGAUACUAUGUAUUUUGAGGAUAACAAGUUAUGUAAUGUAAUACUGAGAGGAUACAAGUGAAAAGGCAUGAAUCCAAACAAUUACUUAGUGGUUGGAACUAUUUGACAAUAUUUAUGAUCUGUUUGUUUACUGUUGGUGAUAUUCCUGAAUAAAAUGUAAUACGUAUCAAAA